rnacentral:rRNA from 1 species
UAGGGAAUCUUCCACAAUGGACGAAAGUCUGAUGGAGCAACGCCGCGUGUGUGAUGAAGGGUUUCGGCUCGUAAAACACUGUUGUAAGAGAAGAAUGACAUUGAGAGUAACUGUUCAAUGUGUGACGGUAUCUUACCAGAAAGGACGGCUAAAUACGUGCCAC